AGGUAGUUAAGCAAGACCGUGGGCAAGUCAGCCAACAGCCUGCUCUGUGGUCCCUGGUGUGUUUCUUUGUGAGGCGAGCUGCCUGGCAGGAGGAAACUCUCCACGAGCGUGCGCCAGACCGUCGGCCUUCAAGUCCCUGUUUGCCUCUCCCGCUCUGAAUUCACCCAGGGAUGGACUAGAACCUGCAAACUGAAAUAAACCCUGUCCCUCACCUACGCGGCUCUUGCUCAGGGUGCUUUGUCCCAGCAACAGAAAGGAAACUUCCAGAAGGGAAGGAAGUGCAGAAACUGAGCCCAAGACGGGGUCUACUGAAUGUCCAGAGACCCUGUAAAUACGUACAUACUACACACACCCACUGUUUUACAUAUCGCUCCCCCGCCCCUGCCUUACUCAGCCAUAUGAUUUGGGAAAUGGUGCCAUAUUGGUACGCACAGAGCUGCCUCGCUGACUGUGAAGAUGGUGCAGAAUCCCAUUUACAAGUCUUGUGUUGAAGGACACUUACUUGGUUGCGUGCUUGAGGAAAAUCCAGCUGGGGAGUGCCAAAUUCGUGGAGGUCGCCAACGGAGAUAAGACUGGAGAUAAGGAAAAGAACCAAGGAGGCCUUAUUAAUGAGAAACAUCUUAAAGAAGCCUCUGCAUCUGGAUUAAGUCAUGCCCAGCACACCGGCAUUCCUGGGAUAUGUUUCCACUGGAAACUGCAUAUAAAACCCAUGGUUUUGCUCUGCAAAUAAAAGUUCAGAUUUACUGUGCCGCAUGGUCUUUCCACCCAUAAAGCCCUGUGUUACUUAUGUGCCCGGAGUGCGUGUAGGCUGAGACGAGCCAUCUCAUUUCCAGUGAGUGACCUUGAGAUGGCAGCAGCGUCCCAUUCGACUCUGCCAUGCUCCCGGUCCAUAACAAAGUGAAAGUAAAAAUCUCAAUAAAUCAGAAUAACGCUGAUUGUUAUAAUUUUAUUAUCAGAGCAUUGAGUCAAUAAAACUUAUCUAAAACACCA